UGCAUAAAAUAUAGAAAUCAACGACAACGGAAGCCGCAAUGAACGGUGUUUUAAUCUUUUGCUGACGACAACUUCCAAAUCUACAUAGGACCAGGAUUUUUUAAGGGAACAAGAAAUCUUCAUAGGGAUACAUAGAUUGAACAUUUUCUAAAUGGAUCCACAGAAAUCUGUGUCUCACCUGCAAUUGCUGCUGUUAGUGUAAAAGUGUGAUGUUGACUAUAAAAAUUUCAGCAACAGAAUGAAGAAUUCCUAGAGUCUAAUACGGUUUAUUAAACAGGAUUUUAUCAUUGAAUCAACAUCCUACAAGAAUAUAACAUACAAAUAAGUAAUUAUGUGCAGGGAAGAACAUUUAAACAAAACUGUAAGAGACAUACAGUGGUGGAGUAUUUUUAAAGAGACCGAAAGAGCAAUCAAUCGAUAAAAAACACCAAACAAAAAUCAAAAGGGAAACAUGUAGCAUGCUCUGCAUUGUGAAUGAAAACUAAAUCAACAAAGAUUUUUUUAAUGUUUUUUUGACAUGAGACAAGCA